rnacentral:rRNA from 1 species
AGUGAACGCUGGCGGCGUGCUUAACACAUGCAAGUCGAACGAGAACGGAUUAUAGCUUGCUAUAAUUGUCAGCUAAGUGGCGCACGGGUGAGUAAUGUAUAGGUAAUAUGCCUCUUACUAAGGGAUAACAAAUGGAAACGUUUGCUAAUACCUUAUACUCCUUAUUAACAGAAGUUAAUAAGGGAAAGAUUUAUUGGUAAGAGAUUAGCCUGUAUUGUAUCAGUUAGUUGGUGGGGUAAUGGCUUACCAAGACUAUGACACAUAACUGGUUUGGGAGGAUGAGCAGUAAAACUGGAGCGGAGAAACGGUCGAGAAUCCUAAGGGAGGCAGCAGUGGGGAAUAUUGCACAAUGGACGAAAGUCUGAUGCAGCACCGCCGCGUGGAGGAUGACACAUUUCGGGGCGUAAACUCCUUUUAUAUGAGAAGACAAUGACGGUAACUAGUGAAUAAGGAUCGGCUAACUACGUGCCAGCAGCCGCCGUAA